AACCCUUUUAAAUUAGUCCUGUGAGGCUAGUAAGGGGUUUAAAUGUAACUUCUAUAGAUAAUUUAAACCUCCUUAUGCCUGACACGGCUGUAAGGAGGUUUUUUCUAU
rfam:Acetohalobium arabaticum DSM 5501, complete genome.